UACGUAUGGUGCGAGCGUUGUCCGGAAUUACUGGGCGUAAAGAGCUCGUAGGUGGUUUGUCGCGUUGUUCGUGAAAACUCACAGCUCAACUGUGGGCGUGCGGGCGAUACGGGCAGGCUAGAGUUCGGCAGGGGAGACUGGAAUUCCUGGUGUAGCGGUGAAAUGCGCAGAUAUCAGGAGGAACACCGGUGGCGAAGGCGGGUCUCUGGGCCGAUACUGACACUGAGGAGCGAAAGCGUGGGGAGCGAACAGG
rnacentral:rRNA from 1 species